rnacentral:sRNA from 1 species
GUUACCAGAACUUGCCUAUUGUGACGAAUAGUUACUUUUAAGUCGAUUGUAUUUGGAUUCUGUCUGGGUGAUUCUGGAAACCCCAGUUGUUUCUGUGUCUGAAUGAGUUACUUUUUCAGUUUAUUUGCCUCCUCUUUGUGAUUUUAAAAUAUUUAAAUCGUUUUCUAAAAUCUGGGAUAGAUGGGCAGCAGAAGAUCAUGUGCUUCGUGAUACCGAUGAAAAUCGUAGAUUACAGCGUAAAUUGGCAAGAAAAGCUGUAGCUCGCCUGAGGAGCACAGGAAGAAAGAAGAAGCGCUGCAGGUUGCCUGGUGUGGACUCUGUCUUAAAAGGCCUCCCCACUGAAGAAAAAGAUGAAAAUGAUGAAAACUCAUUAAGCAGUUCCUCUGACUGUAGUGAAAACAAGGAUGAAGAAAUAAGUGAAGAAAGUGAUAUUGAAGAAAAGACUGAAGUG